rnacentral:lncRNA from 1 species
GAAUUUGAAGAUGCAGAAUCAACCUGAAGCAAACAUGCUAACUCGAUGUCAGGCAGGAGCCUGGAUUCUAUCUGCGUUCAUCUGACUCCAAAGCCUUUCCCUGUUGCCUUGCGGGGACUGAAGUAGUCACAUAAAAGCGUUCAAUUUUGCUGCUGCUUCCACACAUACUUGGAGUCUUCCUCUGAGGUCUGACCCCAAGAAUCAUACUGCAGACUCCCAAACAGCCAACAUGGAGGACAUCGCGGUUCCAAAGAGGCCAGCUAUGGGAUGUCCAGACAUAACUCCAGUGGUCCAGUGAUGCUGUGAUGCUUCAGGACAAGAUUACACCAGCUGAAAACAUCCUGGGAGGAACAAAAUCUUCAUCUGCAUAGUUCCUCAUUGUUCUAGGAUUUUCCCAGAUGCUGCCCUCUGAGCUAAAUGUUGUAUUUGUUCCUCCUGAUGCACUGAACUCUCUGUCCUGAGUCAUCUGUUAGAUUUGUUUCUUCCUAUAUACUGAACAAAGGUGUGGCAAGCUAGGGGCUUUCAUUCUUGCUGUGAUACUAGGAGUUGCUGCAGGGGUUCUAGUAACUUCCCAUUUCCCUGUUCUCUACAACCAAAUAUUGUUGCACAGGACACACUGAAUAUCCAAGGAGCUGCCUUUCAAAAUAAAUCU